UACAGAGGGUGCGAGCGUUAAUCGGAAUUACUGGGCGUAAAGCGUGCGUAGACGGUUAUCUAAGUCGGAUGUGAAAUCCCCAGGCUUAACCUGGGAACUGCAUCCGAUACUGGAUGGCUUGAAUCCGGGAGAGGGAUGCAGAAUUCCAGGUGUAGCGGUGAAAUGCGUAGAUAUCUGGAGGAAUACCGGUGGCGAAGGCGGCAUCCUGGACCGGCAUUGACGCUGAUGAGCGAAAGCUAGGGGAGCAAACGGG
rnacentral:rRNA from 1 species